rnacentral:tRNA from 1 species
UCUUCCUUGGUCUAGUGGUCAGGAUACCUGCUUGUCAACGAACAACUCGCAGGUGGCCGGGGUUCGAUUCCCCGAGGGAGAG